GUGGGUAGUUUGACUGGGGCGGUCUCCUCCUAAAGAGUAACGGAGGAGCACGAAGGUUGGCUAAUCCUGGUCGGACAUCAGGAGGUUAGUGCAAUGGCAUAAGCCAGCUUGACUGCGAGCGUGACGGCGCGAGCAGGUGCGAAAGCAGGUCAUAGUGAUCCGGUGGUUCUGAAUGGAAGGGCCAUCGCUCAACGGAUAAAAGGUACUCCGGGGAUAACAGGCUGAUACCGCCCAAGAGUUCAUAUCGACGGCGGUGUUUGGCACCUCGAUGUCGGCUCAUCACAUCCUGGGGCUGAAGUAGGUCCCAAGGGUAUGGCUGUUCGCCAUUUAAAGUGGUACGCGAGCUGGGUUUAGAACGUCGUGAGACAGUUCGGUCCCUAUCUGCCGUGGGCGCUGGAGAACUGAGGGGGGCUGCUCCUAGUACGAGAGGACCGGAGUGGACGCAUCACUGGUGUUCGGGUUGUCAUGCCAAUGGCACUGCCCGGUAGCUAAAUGCGGAAGAGAUAAGUGCUGAAAGCAUCUAAGCACGAAACUUGCCCCGAGAUGAGUUCUCCCUGAGACUUAGAGUCUCCUGAAGGAACGUUGAAGACGACGACGUUGAUAGGCCGGGUGUGUAAGCGCAGCGAUGCGUUGAGCUAACCGGUACUAAUGAACC
rnacentral:rRNA from 1 species